CCUACGGGUGGCAGCAGUGGGGAAUAUUGCACAAUGGGCGAAAGCCUGAUGCAGCAACGCCGCGUGAAGGAAGAAGGGUCUCGGCUCGUAAACUUCCAUCAACAGGGACGAAGCAAGUGACGGUACCUGAGGAAUAAGCCACGGCUAACUACGUGCCAGCAGCCGCGGUAAUACGUAGGUGGCAAGCGUUAGCCGGAUUUACUGGGUGUACAGGGCGUGUAGGCGGGAAAGCAAGUCAGAUGUGAAAUUCAUGGGCUCAACCUGUGGCCUGCAUUUGAAACUGUUUUUCUUGAGUACUGGAGAGGCAGGCGGAAUUCCUGGUGUAGCGGUGAAAUGCGUAGAUAUUAGGAGGAACACCAGUUGCGAAGGCAGUCUGCUGGACAGCAACUGACGCUGAGGCGCGAAAGCGUGGGGAGCAAACAGGAUUAGAUACCCCUGUAGUC
rnacentral:rRNA from 1 species